rnacentral:rRNA from 1 species
AUGAACGCUGGCGGCGUGCCUAAUACAUGCAAGUCGCGCGAACAGACGAGGAGCUUGCUCCUCUGACGUUAGCGGCGGACGGGUGAGUAACACGUGGAUAACCUACCUAUAAGACUGGGAUAACUUCGGGAAACCGGAGCUAAUACCGGAUAAUAUAUUGAACCGCAUGGUUCAAUAGUGAAAGACGGUUUUGCUGUCACUUAUAGAUGGAUCCGCGCCGCAUAGCUAGUUGGUAAGGUAACGGCUUACCAAGGCAACGAUGCGUAGCCGACCUGAGAGGGUGAUCGGCCACACUGGAACUGAGACACGGUCCAGACUCCUACGGGAGGCAGCAGUAGGGAAUCUUCCGCAAAGGGCGAAAGCUUGACGGAGCAACGCCGCGUGAGUGAUGAAGGUCUUCGGAUCGUAAAACUCUGUUAUUAGGGAAGAACAAAUGUGUAAGUAACUAUGCACGUCUUGACGGUACCUAAUCAGAAAGCCACGGCUAACUACGUG